GUCGUAACAAGGUUUCCGUAGGUGAACCUGCGGAAGGAUCAUUACGGUGCAUCCGACCCACACGUGAACUGUUGAAAGGUGUUCGGGCUUUCGGGCCCGGGCACCGCCCCUUCCCCACACACACGAACAAUCGAGCUAAAGCGAUGGAGUAUAGGGCUUUUACAGACCUAUGCUUUUAACCGUGAUAACUCUCAACAACGGAUGUCUUGGCUCUCGCAACGAUGAAGAACGCAGCGAAAUGCGAUACGUAGUGUGAUCUGCACUGUACGUGAACCAUCGAAUCUUUGAACGCAUAUUGCACUCGAGGCUUCUGCCAAGAGUAUGCCUGCCUGAGCGUCAGCGUGUACCCUCAUCCCAACCUCGGUUGGAAUGGAGAUGGGCGUCCGAUCGGGUCUCGGCGACGAGGCUCGGUGGGUCGGCUGAAAAGCAGUCGCGGUGCGACCGAUCGCACGAUCAGCGUGGUAGACCUUUAAUUAGGACGGAUCGCUCGGUCAGAUCGGACACACUUCGAUUACGAACACUGGCACGGAUUCGCGUCGAGUGGCCCUCGCGGUCAGUCGAAUAGAGCCGUGUCAUCUCACCUUUUGACCUCAGUUCAGACAAGGCUACCCGCCGAAUUUAAGCAUAUUACUAAGCGGAGGAAAAGAAAAUAACAAUGAUUCCCCUAGUAACGGCGAGCGAACCGGGAAGAGCCCAACUUGGAAAUCUGGAGGCUUGUCCUUCCGAAUUGUAGUCUAGAGUAGUGCCAUCUGCGGCUGGCCGGUCCCAAGUUCCCUGGAAAGGGACGUCAGAGAGGGUGAGAGCCCCGUCGAGGCCGGUUUAGUCGCUCCACGAUGCGCUUACAAGGAGUCGGGUUGUUUGGGAAUGCAGCCCUAAGCGGGAGGUAAAUUCCUUCUGAGGCUAAAUAUUGGCGAGAGACCGAUAGCGAACAAGUACCGCGAGGGAAAGAUGAAAAGACCUUUGAAAAGAGAGUUAAAAAGUACCUGAAAUUGUUGAGGGGGAAGCGAUUAAAACCAGCGGGUGCUCCCUAGGUAGGCUUUGCCACACGCUAGGGGCUGGUCAACGUGGGUUAGUCGGGGGGGACAUUACUCCUGACUGACCGAGGACUCGACGUUGGCGGAAUGGUUUUAAUCGGCCCGUCUAGAAACACGGACCAAGGAGUCUAACAUGUGUGCGAGUCGGUGGGUGACAAACCCACGAGGCGCAAGUAACCUGACUGAGCAACAUCGACCGACCAUGAUCUCCUGUGAAAGGUUUGAGUGCGAGCAUACAUGCUGGGACCCGAAAGAUGGUGAACUAUGCGUGA
rnacentral:rRNA from 1 species